rnacentral:rRNA from 1 species
UACGUAGGGGGGCAAGCGUUAUCCGGAAUUACUGGGCGUAAAGCGCACGCAGCGGUUCGCCAAGUUUGGAGUGACAGUUGUCGGCUCAACCGACAAAGGACUUCAAAAACUGGUGAACUUGAGGACGAGAGAGGAAGGUGGAAUUCCCGGUGUAGUAGUGAAAUGCGUAGAUAUCGGGAGGAACACCAGUGGCGAAGGCGGCCUCUGGCUCAUAACUGACGCUGUAGCGCGAAAAGCGUGGGGAGCGAACGGGG